ensembl:lncRNA
GUCUCGGCAAUAUGGCCAAGGUGUAUGGGAGAGUUCACUAUUUGAUAUGGCUGUCUGUAGGGCCUACUAAACGCAUACGGCUCCUUUAAAUGCGUCUGCAUAAUUGAAUUGUACGUCAUGAGCGACUUGAGCGACCAAAGCGAACAGAAAAAUUCGCAGCGAAACUUUGUGAGCGACCAAAGCGUCUUUGACGCUAUGGUCGCUCCUGGUGUGGACGUACAGUAAGACCAAGAAUAACAAGCGCCGGCCAGUGCCUUGCCUUGGACCUCUAUCCUAACUGCGAAGUCGUCGGACGACGUGGGGAGAUCUUCGUGUUAUUUCAAUAUACCUAACCCUAACCCUUACACAGCCGAUGGCCCUUAUCACACCAUAUAAGCGGCCACUCAGAGGCAUGGCAGAGCAAAGGUUUAAUACUCAUCACUCUCGGGCCCACUCCAUUGUUGAGCGUGCCUUUGGGAUGAUGAAAACCCGCUUCAGGUGCAUCUUUUUAGAGGUACUUGAAGUACAAAGUGAGUUUGUUCUAAAGGUAUAGGUGAUUCCAUAAUUAUCCAUAUUUGUCUGUUUAACUUUGUUAUUGUACAUUAUAGUUGUAAAAAAACUUUUAUGGAUUAACCUAAUUAUUACACCUUAAUUUACAUUUACGUUCCUGUUUGUCUUUUUAAAACUUUUCCUUGUGCAGGUGGUGACUGCGUGUGCAGUACUGCACAACAUUUGCAUUGGUGUGGGCGAUGACCUCCCAGUGGAGGAUGGGGCCAUGGAGGGAGAUGACCCUCCUCUUGAAGGAGAAUGUGGCACGGAGUCACAGAGUGGAGCUCCUUGGCGUGCGGCCCUGGCCAAUGCCAUUACCCCCCUUGAAGUGGCUCCACAGGACCACGACUACUUUGUUCUGCCUGUGACCGGACCAAGACAUACAUUUUAACAUACAUUUUUUUUAUAUUAUUUAAUCACUUUUGUCCAUUAUGAAUGUGUUUUUUGUUGUGGUUGAUCGAAUCCUCUU